AAAGGUUUAUGGUGGAUAUUUAGGUAUUUAGAGAUGAGGAAGGGUGUAGUAAGUGAUGAAAUGUUUUGGGGAGUUGAAAAUAAGUGUAGAUUUGGAGAUUUUUGAAUAGGUUAAUUUUUUGAAUUGUUGUUGAAUUUAUGGGUAGGUAAGAGAUAAUUUGGUGAAUUGAAAUAUUUUAGUAGUUAGAGGAAAAGAAAGUAAAAGUGAUUUUUGUAGUAGUGGUGAGUGAAAUGGGAGUAGUUUAAAUUGUGAAAAUGGGGUUGUGGGAGAGUAAAAAAAGUGUUGUGUUGUUAGGUGAAGUGGUGGAGUGUUGUAUUUUAGAUGGUGAGAGUUUAGUAGUUGAAAGUAUUAUUAGUUUAUGUUUUGAUUUGAGUAGUAUGGGGUAUGUGGAAUUUUGUGUGAAUUAGUAAGGAUUAUUUUGUAAGGUUAAAUAUUUUUGGGUGAUUGAUAGUGAAGUAGUAUUGUGAGGGAAGGGUGAAAAGAAUUUUUAUUGGGGAGUGAAAUAGAAUAUGAAAUUGUAAGUUUUUAAGUAGUGGGAGGAGUUUUGGGUUUUGAUUGUGUGUUUGUUGAAGAAUGAGUUGGUGAUUUAUAGGUAGUGGUUUGGUUAAGGGAAUUUAUUGGAGUUGUAGUGAAAGUGAGUUUUUAUAGGGUAAUUGUUAUUGUUUAUGGAUUUGAAUUUGGGUGAUUUAUUUAUGAUUAGGAUGAAGUUUGGGUGAAAUUAAGUGGAGGUUUGAAUUGAUUGAUGUUGAAAAAUUAGUGGAUGAGU
rnacentral:rRNA from 1 species